AUUGAUGUCAUGAUGUUCUUUAAACGUGCUGCUUUGACUAUCGGGUGACAUAUCCCGCGGUAAUGCCACUGCAGCACUAUAGAACCUGACCAACCCAUUCGUGUGAUCCCGGUGAACCACUGAUAAAAAUCGCAGCUAUGAAUGCCUCACAGAAAAUUGUUGUUUUUGUUGUAGCCGUUGCCAUGGCAAUGAUGCAAGUAGUGGUUGUGGCCGCUGAGGAGUGCCCAGACGGCAUAGUGAGGCUGGAGAACGGCAUGUGCGGUAAUGGGGGAAAGUAAAUCGGCCAGGAAAAAGCCAAUUCAGUGUAUGGCAAGUUGAAAUAAAGGCUGUAUAAAAAUA